rnacentral:rRNA from 1 species
GACGUAGGGCGCGAGCGUUUGUCCGGAUUUAUUGGGCGUAAAGAGCUCGUAGGCGGUCUGUCGCGUCGGCUGUGAAAACCCGGAGCUCAACUCCGGGCCUGCAGUCGAUACGGGCAGACUGGAGUUCGGCAGGGGAGACUGGAAUUCCUGGUGUAGCGGUGAAAUGCGCAGAUAUCAGGAGGAACACCGGUGGCGAAGGCGGGUCUCUGGGCCGAUACUGACGCUGAGGAGCGAAAGCGUGGGGAGCGAACAGG